UACGUAGGGACCAAGCGUUGUUCGGAUUUACUGGGCGUAAAGGGCGCGUAGGCGGUCGUGACAAGUCACUUGUGAAAUCUCCGGGCUUAAUUCGGAACGGUCAAGUGAUACUGUCGGACUAGAGUACAGAAGGGGCAACUGGAAUUCUCGGUGUAGCGGUGAAAUGCGUAGAUAUCGAGAGGAACACCUGCGGCGAAGGCGGGUUGCUGGGCUGAUACUGACGCUGGAGGCGCGAAAGCUAGGGGAGCAAACGGG
rnacentral:rRNA from 1 species